GAAAUGGAAAAAAAGUUGGUGGGGGUGACUUUUGGGAGAGAAAGGUUUUUUGGUUUUGAUUUAGGUUUGGAGAAGAGGGGGGUUGGAUGAUAUUUUUUCAGAAUUUUUAGGGGUUAGAAAGCAUAAAAAAUAAGGGGGAAUAAUGCAUCUAUUUAUAGGGAAAGCAAGUGGGUAAGUGAGGGGAACCAAAUGCCCUUUGUG
rnacentral:lncRNA from 1 species